GGAGGGCUUUAAACUGUUUCAUCGGGGGAAGGAGACCAAAGCCCUGAGGAAUGAAAGAAAAGAAAAGAAAAUUAGUCUUAUCAGCAAUUUCUGCCUGAUCCUGCAGCUGCUGCAGACACAGAAUUCCAGUGGGCCUUCUACAUACAGGACAGAUGGAGAAUUGGGUACAUAAAACAAAACCUUUGUCAAGUUUUAUUAUUAAAAACUGCUGCACAACAGAAUCAUGGAAGAGGGUGAAAGGAAAGAAUGUAAGGCCCAAAGACAGACUAUGGAAACAUUUACAAACACAGUCUUAUGAAACUAUAUUGCAAAAGAACUAUACAGCAUCUUUUCCAAGUAAAAAGAAACCUAUUUCCUCCAUUAACUGACUCUGAAAUAUCUGACAGAGCCUGCAGCUAAAUUUAAAAUCUUUUUUUUUUCCUUUUAAACUAAGGAGGCUUGAUUAUAUGACAGCUGUACACAAACUCUGAACUGCACAUGGUAGGGCUUCAAUACCAAAAGAUAUUUUAAAAAGCAUUCCCUGAAACUUGGAUUCCACAUGCCCCUUCUCUUUGUAGCCACUCUCUUUUAUGGGACCUGUCAAUUUCCUCGAAUCCCUUGCCUAUGAUGUCCCCAAAGGAAAAGCUGUUUCCAAAACCUCCCUGAUGCCUUCUCCAGGAAAUGCUCCUUUAGUACAAAUGUCUAACCCAGAAUUUUUGCUCUGACUUGAAGUAGAAUUGAUCACCAAUGCGCCAAUGCUAUUUCCAUAGGGUCAGUAUCAGUGGAUGUCCACUAUACUGUAUGAGAAAAGUAAGUGUUGCUGGUUGGAUGUUCAAGAAACUUCAGAUCUAGGACUAGAGGUCAUCUUCUCCUCACAUCCAUUAUAUUCCUUAUCACAAGAAGCUGAAAUUCCUGUGAUGUUUCAUCUUCAGAAGGUGCUCUUCUAGUGCCAAAAGGUGCAAUGUCAGUCCAAUAUACUCUGUUAUAAAUUUAAAUUAAAUGCCCUUUUUCUUUCGUUUAUGGUGCAUUAUAAAAAAAGGUUGUUUUUAACAUCUUGAUUUUUGUCUCAAGUUCCAGAGAAAAUAAUUAAAUUAAAAUAAAGAGAGGGCAAAUGGGACUCUUUCAGAAAGACAUUUCUAAACCAAGUAAUGCAUCUUUACAGAAAUUUAAGGCCCUGCCAUUUAUAAUUCUGCAGCGUUUCUUCUGUAGAUAGACACCCUUAAAUAUCAUUCUUUAUCCCCAUAAUGUAGAAUAAAGGUUUGGUAAUGCAUACAAUUUGUAAGAACUAUUCAAUUUCAGAAUCUUCCAACUACAUUUUGAAAGAAGUUAGGGUUAUAAUUUGUCAUGGCAAACAAAGCUUAACGCUUUAGUCAACUAACCAACCCCUAACAAUAAGAAUGACAUAAGAAUUUAAUGAAUACAUGGAAAUUUUACAAGUACACCAGCUAAGUUUUAACAAAGCCCUCUACUCAAUACCCAUUUUAUCACUUCCCAUCUUGGGCUUUUUGUUAUAAUAAUGCAGGCUUUUGUUUCUGUGCUUAGGCUUAAGGAAGACCAUUGUAUCCAACAUAUACUAAACCAAAACUGUGUUUAUAUUUGUCAAAUGUAUUCUUUGUAUAAUUAUACUUGUCUGUAGGCUGCAAUAGAAAUUUCAAUGUUUAUAGUAAAAUACAUGCCCACAGUCAAGAUAAUUUUAUGUCCUAUGUUAUAUUCAAAACCGUACACAUCAUUAUAACUAAACAAAGUUCUAUAAUUAAUGCUGUACUGAAAACCGCAUUUCUAGUGUAUCUGCCUGCAUAUCUUCAGUUUCAAAAACUUUUACUGUUAACUAUAACUGUACCUAAUAACAACUUGCUAACAUUUGUUAGAAAAGUAACUUGGGAAAAACAAAAAUAGUUUUAUCAACUGGGGAAGUAUCUAAUUAUCACCUGCAUUUCUUGAACUCUCAUAUCUUUACUAUUUUAAACUGCAGAAAGUCACAUAUUAAUGCAGAUCUAUGGUUGAGAAAUCCAACACUCAAAGCUAAAAAUUCCUAAAGUUAGAUUGUUCCCAAAUGCUUAGACAUAUAUAGAGGUAGUAUUUAUUACUGAACCAACUUCUGCUUGCCAAAAACUCUCUCUCACCAACUGAAGUUGGUCUGAUAAAGAUAUUACCUCACUCACCUUGUCUCUCUAAUAUCCUGGGACCGACACAGCAUAGACUUAUGUAUUUCUAUUCCUCUCUUCCCUAUUAAAUGCAUUAUUCUCCGCCAUCAGAUGUGAAGUGUGGCAGAGUAAAUGUCAUGGGAUCAAACGUUAAGAAAUCACACUUAAAUUCCAAAGGUUAACUACAUAGGAAAAAAAACAGUUUUUCCUUAAACGUUCCUGGGGCUGUCUAAAACCAACCACACGUACACACAUGCACAAGAAAAUCCCCCUCCUCCCCGUUUUUUUAAUCCAUGGAGCCCGUGAGCACUGCUUGCUUUGACCCUGGAUCGUAUGAAAGUUUCUUGAAUCACAACUGAACAGUUACAAAUUUUAAUGGCUACCUUUGUUAAGUGACUAAAUCAGCAGAGGGAUGUCAAGUUUUAUCCUUUCCUCUCAUGCACAUGUGAACUUACCAACUUCAUAUGUUUAUAGGUUUAAAACUACAGAAACUUACCAAUCUGAUUUGUUUUAAUGUUAUAAUUUUUACAGAACAAACCAAGUAUUAAAUUUUUAGCUUCAACUUUAUGAGUUAUCCAACUUCAACAUUACAGAAAGGCAAUAAGAGACUAUAUUAAGAAAUUGUAGCAGUGGUAUAGGCCCAUUACUAAAUGGAGAUGGUAAAAUUGUUCAUAAUGCAG